rnacentral:rRNA from 1 species
GACGAACCGUGCGAACGUUAUUCGGAAUCACUGGGCUUAAAGGGCGCGUAGGCGGGCCGAAAGCCAGGGUGAAAUCCUCCAGCCCAACUGGAGAAGCGCCUUUGGAACUGGCGGCCUCGAGGGGUGCAGGGGCAUGCGGAACUCAGGGUGGAGCGGUGAAAUGCGUAGAUAUCCUGAGGAACACCGGUGGCGAAAGCGGCGUGCUGGACACCUUC